rnacentral:rRNA from 1 species
GACGAACGCUGGCGGCGUGCUUAACACAUGCAAGUCGAACGGAAAGGCCCUGCUUUUGUGGGGUGCUCGAGUGGCGAACGGGUGGGUAACACGUGAGUAACCUGCCCUUGACUUUGGGAUAACUUCAGGGAACUGGGGCUAAUACCGGAUAGGAGCUCCUGCUGCAUGGUGGGGGUUGGAAAGUUUCGGCGGUUGGGGAUGGACUCGCGGCUUAUCAGCUUGUUGGUGGGGUAGUGGCUUACCAAGGCUUUGACGGGUAGCCGGCCUGAGAGGGUGACCGGCCACAUUGGGACUGAGAUACGGCCCAGACUCCUACGGGAGGCAGCAGUGGGGAAUAUUGCACAAUGGGCGGAAGCCUGAUGCAGCAACGCCGCGUGCGGGAUGACGGCCUUCGGGUUGUAAACCGCUUUCGCCUGUGACGAAGCGUGAGUGACGGUAAUGGGUAAAGAAGCACCGGCUAACUACGUG